ensembl:lncRNA
AAGCAGACUGAGCCUCUUCUCUUAUCAUAGCGGUAAAGUCUGCUGCAGUGUUUGGGGAGCUGUGGAAUUAAGGACUUUCCAGCACGGCCACCAACACAGCAGAGGAGCACUUCACAGCACUUGACCUCGUCACCUUCUAGAAGGAUGUUACUCAUUUGUUUACAAGUCAUGUCCUGCUGCAGUUCAGACAAGAAAUACGAGCAAUCAGAAAAACAAAGUCUCUUACUUCUUUGGGCAAUCCUAGAAGUGUUAUCUCACAUCUAGAGAUAAUUACAUUCUCAUAAAGUCUAAGAACCACCCAUAAACCUACUUCUAGCUUGAAACACUGGUAAAAUGAUUUUCACUGGAAACUUAGAAGCAUCAAGAGAAAGAAUAUGCACACCAUCUUGAUCGGAAAACAUUUCUCUUUGAAAGACCACACAGAAAUGGCACUUCUGGACUCCAACCCU